rnacentral:rRNA from 1 species
AUGCGCAGCCCCCACGACCUGGCGCUGGUUUGCCUCCCCGGCGCGGACGACGGGCUUCGACUCCAGGUGCUCGACCCAGUAAUCGGUGUCCAAUUCGCCUUACCGGAUGUCGACCAUGACAGGGAGCAACCCCAUCACGCGUCGUUUAUGUUCGGCAGGGCGUCCACCGGAGGCUAUAAGGUGUUGUGCAUCAGAACGUCUGGGCCGAACGGACAGCAGCAGCUUUGCAGGGUGCUCACCCUCUCGGGCAAUGCUGGCGACCAUGGAUGGAGAGAGACGGCGUGCCCGCCGGCCAAGGUCAGUACGGGCCGCCGAGAGGCGGUAGCCGUCAAGGGGGUUGCCUAUUUCUUGCUGCACGGCCGUCGUCCCGAGGUGUGUAUCAUGGCGUACGACCUGGAGAAGGAGCUGUGGCGGCCGGCUUCCCUGCCGGUCCCUCUACCCAGCAACAGCAACAAGCAGAAGCCAAGGAGCAUGUUAUACCACAGUUUGGCCGAGCUGGGCGGCUGCUUCGCCCUACUGUACGAGGACUGGGAGGAGUUCAUGGAGCUGUGGUUGCUCAUGGACCCCGGCAAGGUUAUCUGGUCCAAGCGGUGCACCAUCACCGUGCCGUAUCGGUACCAGGGUGUCUACGACUCACGUGUUUAUCCAUAUUUUGCGGAGAUGUUGUGGCUGCUAGAUGAUGGGAGGAUCGUCAUUUGGAUGUUGCUGGCUGAGUCAGGACUUCCCCAUGCGGUGUUGUGUACAUAUGACCCAAGAACCAUGUCCUACACGGAUGUGGCAGACAUGCCAAACUACAUUAUGGGAGGUGUCUAUACAGGGAGCUUGUUGGGUCGAGAGAGUUUCCUCCAACUCCACCAAGGAAGUUCAGCGUAG